UCAAGUCAAUGAUGAUGUGCAUGCAAUGCACACCACUAGAUAAGAUAAGAUAUGAAAGUUGUAUUCUCACAACUAGUGUUAUAAUUAUAAAUAUGUUUGCAAAGUGAAGAGAAUGAAUAAGGUUGAGAAAAUGGUGACAAAAACAGCUUUGCGCAUUGCUUUCUCAUGGCUCUUACUGAUGGUAUUCACAGUUGUUUCUGCUAAUGCAGAAAACAUAAGUGCUCAUACCCCAACUUCAAAGAAUAUGGUUUAUUAUCCUCAAGGUUGUCGCUGCUGCACGUUCAUAUGGAAGCCAAUGAUCAGAUGUGGCAAAGUAUGUUGUGAAGAGGGAUGUUGUUAACUUAAACAUCACAGGGUUGAAACAGACCAUCUAAAAGUUCUAUAUAUGUUUCUCUUCACACAGAAACAUAAAUACUAAGUUGUUUAAUAAUUAUGCAGGAAGUCGGAUAAAUAGGUUUUCUGCAUAAAAGUUUGUAGUGUUGUUGACAACUUAAUAUAAUGUCCAUUCCCAAGAGAUUUCAUUUAAAAACAACUUGCAGAUUCACCCAUUUAAAGAGUUUUCAAAGAGCACUCAUCGCUCUUUUGUAGAA